AUUGUACUCCCUCCAUCCGGAAAUACUUGUCGGAGGAAUGGAUGUAUCUAGAUGCAUUUUAGUUCUAGAUACAUCCAUUUUUAUUCAUUUUUGCGACAAGUAAUUCCGGACGGAGGAGUACUAU
rnacentral:pre_miRNA from 1 species